rnacentral:rRNA from 1 species
UACCAGCACCCCGAGUGGUCGGGACGAUUAUUGGGCCUAAAGCAUCCGUAGCCGGUUUUACAAGUCCUCCGUUAAAUCCAGCUGCUUAACAGAUGGGCUGCGGAGGAUACUAUAAGACUAGGAGGCAGGAGAGGCAAGCGGUACUUAGUGGGUAGGGGUAAAAUCCGUUGAUCCAUUGAAGACCACCAGUGGCGAAGGCGGCUUGCCAGAACGCGCUCGACGGUGAGGGAUGAAAGCUGGGGGAGCAAACCGG